rnacentral:lncRNA from 1 species
CUCUGCUCACUGCUGGACUGAUAAACUUUAACAGAAACCUCCUUGCAGUGAAAUUUUAGUAGGUGAGUUUGGUCGGUAAAUGUCAUGUGCUCCUGCAAAUAAUUUCAUGAAGUAGAUAAUGUUAUAAUGUGUAUAUGUAUAUAAAAUGACUUGUAGUAAUGUUUUCUAUACCACAAGAGUAAAAUUUGUACUUUAUGAUCUCAAAGUAGAUAAGCAGCCUUUGUGGUCUGAGUCAGU